CCGCGGCGUCUCCUCACAUCUGAGUCAGUCUUUCGUCGAACCGUGUCACAGUUGGUGCAGCUGGCCCUCCAGCCGGCUCUUCCUUUGUCUACCUCUCAUUCUCUAUUGAUCCAACUUUUCUUUGUAAACUUAACUUCUUACCUUCGCUCAAUCAUUUCUCCACCAACGUCGAACAACAUUUUCAACUUUCCAACAGUCUCGAACAGCAAUCUCACGCGAAAAGAGCCCACCGCUUCGAAUAUACGAGUAGAAAUUUGAUUUCAACUUACCCAAAUCGGUUUUCCAACUUCAAUUUGAGCGGCGAAAAAUCUCAAACGUCUGUGUUUUACAGGUUCGCUCGACUUCAACGCUUCCGACUCUUGAUUGGAUCACAUGGGAUGGGAGGAAGAUAACUUGGACCAGAUCUAUCAUAUUCGACAUCGAAGUAUGACACGCUGCACCUCCAAUGUGAUGAAUGACGCUUCAAGUACACUACUCACUUCCACUUUUAGAUUGCUGGAAUUGUUGAAUCUUCACAAACAAAAUAUCAUUGUAACUGAUAUACACCAGUUGCUGUGGCAGGUAUGGUCUUUUCCGUCACACUUUUCCAAUAAUCUAGUAACAAUAUAUUAAUAAAAAUUCUACAUUAAAUAGUAACUCCAGAGCAACUCUACAAAUUUCUAUGUGGAAAAAUACGUGUAAUUAUUAUCCUAGAGGGGCUAGAUUAUUGAGGGCUGAAUCUUGAAUUUAAAACAGUUAUUGUAUGUUUAUUCCAUUGAACAUUUUUGUACAACUUGAAUUAGUGAUCUAAUUUGAGACAUUGUUUUGAUAGAUUUGCUUAUUCUUCUACAAUUAUUGAAUGUUAUAAGACUUGAGUAGAACAUUUUCUUGUCGGGAUAAAUCUAUUCGAUUUACACAAAGAUUAGGCAACAUCAUCCCAUCUCGCUUCCCCUAAUUAACUCAUCCACUGGAAGUUUGUAGACCACUUACCCAUUUUGGAGUGUGGAGAGUAAUCGCCCAAAUUAAGAGAUUGUUGGGAUGGCGACAGUGGCAAAAUGAGAGGUUAAUAUCGGAAUAGUAAACCCUCACAAUAAUAGCUGAAUAUUAGUAUCGUAAGUUUAGCCACUUUUGGUGAUGAAAUUCACACAUACGUUUCUUGAUUUCAGUGAAAAUGAUAGUUUAUUAUAUACUCAUUGUGCGUGGAGCAUCAAUGAUUAAUCAAAUCAUUCCAGAGUUUACAGAGAAUUGGAUAUUUCCAUCGUAAGAACAGAGCUAAUAGUGAGCAAUCUAGGAACAACUUUAAUCAUCUGUUGAAAUUAAUUAUCUGCUUGAGAGCAGCAUAUUAUUGAGAGAAUAAUGUGCACCGUUGAGGGCUUUUUCAGUUUUGUUAGGCAGAUUAGUUUAGCAGUAGGAGUUCAUUUGGAGCACGCGGCUGAUAGCACAGCACAGGCCUCUCUACAUACUUGCACAAUGCGCAAUAAGGGCUGAUGGGCUCAUCUAUACCUAUCUUUUUAGCAGCUCUAUAUCUAUAUAUAUAUAAAGGCGCUUUGGCCAGAAAGCCAUUCUGGCUUUCUAAUCGAAUUACUCACGGCGACAUAGGAUGAGAAUGAACAUCAGGAUGGCGAGAAUACCGUCCAACUUUAUAGGCUUUAUCCCGGCCUCUGAUGUCUUUGUGUGCUUCUCCCUCUUCCCCUCUCUGUCAUUCUAUUCAUUCUCCUCUAAUCUCGUUCGCUUUCCCACUUUAGGCUCAAUUAUAACAACUCUCUCAACUAAUGAGCUCUUAUUCACGAUUAAAAGUCGGCAUCUGGAUCAUUAAAGAUCAAUGCGAUUUAGUGGUUUACAGGGGUGAGCUCUGUAAUAAUAUUUUUUUAAUACAAAUUGAUCUCCAAUUUGUUGGAUUCUUCUCAUUUUUAUUUUCAACCACCACACUGGGAAAGGUUUGAGUUGUUAACUGAACCCUGAGGAUGGAAAACUCAAUUUCCAUACAGCAUGAUUCUAUCCUCAAUAUAUCCUAUUACAAUUUUCAAAAUUGAAAAUUCUGAAAUGUGUGUAUUUAUAUUAGAUCUUGUAAAUCCAAUCUCAUUGAACCCCCAUUUUACAAUCUCAUCCCAUCAUUACCUACAAUAAAAGACAGACAGAAUUAGAUAUUCUAUAAGUAUCUUAUAGUAGUUGUCACUUAAUCACUUUGGAUACUUGUCCUAGUGCCUUAGUUUAGUGGAUGUGUCUUAUUUAAUAGUAGAAAUAUAUGUUCAAUAGAAUUAAUAAUAUGCUCUCAUACUGAUUGAAUGUCAAUCAGCGAUUCUGCUCCAUGAUAUUCUUUCCUAUCAAAUAAUGUUGAAAAGGGUUGCUACAAAAAUGUGAUGUUCCUGUAUUCUUCUAUUUUGAAAAGCAUUUUCAUCUUUCUCAUUUGACGGUACUUGGGAAGAAACUACUUCAAGGAAGAUUGUUGGAGAUGGAUAGCUAUUUUGGCAUAAAUUCAAAAAGUAAUAGCCUAUGAUAUACAGUUAGAAGCGAUCAGAUUAUGAAUAAUUGAACUAGCCUACAAAAAAUAUAUUCGCCGAGAGCGAACUUUGUUUUGAAAAGAGGAGAUAAGCUUGAAUGUUGAAACGAAAAUAUCUUAUUUAGGAGGGAUUAUAAAGUUUGGCCGCGUGGCAACAUUGCUUUGCUUUCAGCUGGAUAAUUUAUAAUAAAUUAUUCUUGACUGCCUGUUAUUCCGUCAAAGGAUCUGCUUUUCUUUUCUCGGCACCUUUUUUCUAAUCCUAUUUAUAGGCGUAGUCAGGCAGGCUCAUCCUUUCAUUCGUUUAGCGCUAUUCACUGCUGCCUCAUUCGUUUCCAUUCAUUGAUUUUUUUCUCAAAAGAAAACAAAAAAGAAUAAUUGAGGAGGAAAUAAUAAAUACGAAAGAGAAGAUUGAGCUUCCUAUUCACAACACUUUUUCCGUUCACAGCUUCGCACUUCAGAGUUUUUCGUUCCAUUCCUUAAACUUUUUCAUAAUUUUCCACAAUCUUUCAAUUUAAACCGAAUAACAUUUUCCUUCUUGUUUUCAAGCUUUUCAGUAUCAAUAGUUUCUGUCUGCUCUAUUGUGUAACCUGUAAACAUAUCAAGAAUUUAAAAUACAUUUUAUGCUAAUUACUUCAUUCCAGAUCCAUUUGAAUUGAUCUAAUCAGUUCAAUCUUAUCCAUUAAUUUUUUUACAACUAUGGAGAAGAAUAAGUGGCAUCUUACCAUUGUGUAAAUAAUAUAUCUCCCCAAAUUGAACCAGAAUCUGAUCUACGGCCAUGAUAAAUUGAUUGAUCUAAAUAACAGAAUCAGUUAUUUUCGAUCAGUAUUGAUAUUUUUUGAAUAUAUAGCUCAAAUCUCUAACAUAUCGUUCUAUUUAUAGACUAAUUAUGAGUCGGUUAUGUAAUUAAGUUCAGUGAAUAACCUUACAAGCAUCGGCCUUGGUACAUUAUAUAGCCUGUCUAUAUAAUAUUUUAGUACGAGUUGAAGUCGUCGGGUGUAAUCGACCAAACCGCUAUUGCAUUGCAAACUGAAGCACAGAAUGAAUGGAGAGCUAUUCAAAAGAAGGAGACGGAAAGUGUAAUAAGAAGAAACAUAGAGAAUUGAAAGAGGAGAAUGGAUUAGGGAGAGAGCUUGAGUUUCAAUGAUGUUAAUUACGGCGAAUGAAGUGAGAUAGUGGAAGAGGGAGGGAGAAAUGGGGAGGAAUACAGUUUGUCUGGUUGCAUAACUUUGUUGGUGGAUGUGGAUGUCGUUGCCUGUGUGUAGGCAAUAUGAAGCCUACAAGAAGUGUAUCAAGUCAAGUCGUCGUCGUGUGGACGACUGAUUCGUCGCGAAGUCUGUGGUCGCGAAGUUGCGGCCUGCCACAGCUCCACAGAAAGCAGCCAGCGCGCCAACUUGAGCGUAGCAACAAAAUAAACUGAAUGUGACAGGCGUCUGGCUCUGGCUCUGGCCCUGACUCAGAGGAAGGCAAAGGGUCGCAAAAUGUUGUAGGACUGCAGGCUCCCCCCUCCUCCUUUCACCCCAACCACUUCUCAUCUCAUUCGAGACGGAGGAUUUAACUGACUGUAGCGAGUUAUCGAAGAUAACUAAACUCUGUCGGUUUUGCUUCGUUGUCGUGAAACUCGAAGGGAGAAAAUCCCCGUAUCCUUAUUACUCGAUAACCCGUUACGUAACGUCCCCUAGAACACACUAUCUGCUACCCCGACCCCGAACACAGCCCUCAUUACUUCUCUGGGGACGGAGUUUCGCCAAUAAGGAUGGAUUUAUUGGCGGCAUAACCCCCCUCUCUCUCUCCCCCUCAUCGCUAAAAGCUUCCAGCAUUUAACACUGUUCUACUUACCUUUCUCUCAACUACACCUUCGUCGUCGUCGUCGUCUUAUUAACGGAUAACAUCUCCGUUCUUUCAUGGUGCCACUGCCACCUUAAUUCCAAUGCCAAUCGGAAGCUGGUAACACCCUUCGAAGCGAUCCUAUUCUGUUGAUAGGGCCAGUUAUUUCUGAAGACAUUCCCUCCUACAACGUCUCUAAUGACAAAAGUACAGACUUGGAUCGGCUCUUAAUUUGUUCAGUAGAUAAGAAUGAAUGUAAUUGAGUGAAACUCUUAAUUCAAGAUAGAAGAUAAUGCUAAUUCUUGAUUUAAUGAUACGGAAACUGUAAUUUGUGAAGUUGAAACUGAUAAUAUUUUUAAGGAGAAUCAUAAAUAAAAAGAAACGAUUUAGAAUUAGAACAACGCUAAGAUAUCACUUAUCUGACUUAUUUCAUUCUAUAACAUUGAACAAUUGGAUCAUUAACUUCUAAAUCAACUGCAAGGACCAAACUAUUUACUAAUAUAACAAUGAAGCAUCCAGUAUCUAUGCAUGUAGGAUUUCAUGUUAAAAUAUUAUGUUUAUCAAGCAUCUUUCUACUACAGCCUUUAUAAAGCAUCAACCCUACUUACAUCAACAUAUUAUUCAUUAUCAUACAACGAGAACAUUCCACAGUACUGUAUUAAAUGAAUUGUAUUGCACACAUCAUUUUAAAACAGGUUUAUCAGUAUUAACGUAUAUAGUACUGGAAAUUCUAUUUCAAGCUCGCUAAUGGUUCUUGAAUUCUGUGUAAUACUGGAAAAUUUUUCUGUUCUGUCCUGCUACUGUACUGUUUUAGAAUACUGUGGUGACUGAUGAAUAGGAGCUCCCCUGUCCUUGAAAUUAUCAAAUGAGAAAAUAUUUAGUUGCAAGUCGAUAAAAUAAUGGUGUAGCGGCAGCCCUUGGUUGUAGGCCUACAUUAGCUUAUCAGACCGGAAACUUGACAAUCUUGUUGAGACCACUUAAUGUGACGUUAAUGAUAAUUAUCGCCGUCAUGGUGGUUGACAGGAAAAUUGUUACUGUUCUUGUGCUGCCAUUUUCUCACGUUCAAGGAGUAAAUAAUAGGGGAGUUGGGUGUGAGUGCCAUUGCCAUCGUCAUCCCUGCUAUUAUUGUCAUGUAACAAAUGCAGUCAUAAUCAAAUAGCAGCAAAGUACUGCACAAUAUUUCUCAACUGAAAUUGCAAUCAUAAUGUAGUUUUGCUAGAAAAGUGUCAUUUUAUGUAUUCUUGACGAGAGAAGUAGUUGAAAUAUUUUUGCAUAUAACAAGCAGCCUCACUAUGAUGAUUAAAUCAAAGAUGUGAUGAGAGUGUUUCAUCCACUUUGCUUUCUCUUAUGAUAUGAAAAUACUCCACUAUUUUAGGACUUGACUUCAUCAGAGCUGCCUUAUUACUUUGAGAAAUUUAUUUGAUCCUUUGGUUUGGUUUGGUCUGCAAUCAAAAUUUAAUGUAGUUUUGCUAAAAAAAUAUAAUUUUUUGAAUACUUGACGAGAGAAGUAGUUGAAAUCUACUAGUACAAGUAAUCGCACAAGUAGUAUAAAGCUCAUGUGGGCAUAUGCAAUAAAAUAAUAAUUUUUCUUUAA